rnacentral:lncRNA from 1 species
UCUUCUUCUUAUUUAUACAUUAUUUAAAAAAGAAUUCAUUUUGUCGAAGAAUUAUAAGUACCUGCAUACUAAGAAGAGGUGGGGGAUUGGAGACACAGUUGAGAAGCUAAGAUAUGGAAUGAACAGAAAAAGAAAAAAGAGAAAUGCCGACGAGUCAACAAAUAUAGCAAAUAACAAAAAAUUAAACAUAUUUACACGUUUGGUAUUUUUAUUAGAAGACAAAGUUAUGUGAUAAAUUGUCCAAAUUAUAAGGUUUCUGCACAAAAGAGAGAGAGAGAG